UUUCCCGGCGUUCCCUCGUUUAUUGGCUCACUCUUCCUUUCAUCCAUCCAUCCUUUGCGCAACAAUAUUUGAUGGGAAGCCUGCCAAGGAAUUAAAUUUUGUUCAGACAUCCACUCUUCACCUUCCCAGCCCCUGUUUGCCUGUAACUACAAAGCAGAGGCAGGGAGAAAGACACAUGGGCAGGAGAAUACCACAUGGAGACACAGACACACGAGGGGAGGAUGCCUGCUGACCAUGGAGGCAGAAGUGGGACUGACGCAUCGAUCAGCUGAGGGAUGCCAAGCACUGCCAGCAAACACCAGAGGCUUGAUGGGGGCGAGUAUUCUCCUGUGCAGGUAUCAGAGGGAGCCUGGCCUUGCAGAUACCUUGAUUCCUGACUUCUGGCCUCUAAAAUGUCCAAUGUGAGUCAGGCAUCUCUCCUGGUGGCUGUCUUCCAUGUGGUGACUUAUGUAUCCAGGAUCCUUCUACUGUGUUUCUCCUCCAUUGCGAAGUCCUUCACUUCCAGCACCUGAGACAUUUUUUGGGUAUAUCUACAAGUGGCAUAUAUCACUUCUGCCCACAUUCACCUGGGUAGAACUCAAUCACAUUGUUUCACCUAACUGCAAGUGAGGCUGUGGAAUAUAGUCUCCCUAUGUGCCCAAGCAGAAGAAACAGGAUUGUGUGACUCUACAAUGUGUGAUUGCUCCUGGUGAAUCAAAAGGAUAAAGCUGCUGAUUCUGCAAUUUGAUAACCCAACCAUGCUGACCUCAAAGUGUAGUCAAUCCAUGAAGUUCCUCCCACCACAGCUCAUCCUGAACACUGCCCACCUGAGUCAUCAAGAAAGGUUUAAGUACAUUAUCUGUGCUCUGUUUAAUAUGUCCGUGAAGUGUGUCCUAAAUUUAGUUAUUUCUAGGACCUCUUUCUAGUUUGCAAGUAAGCCAGGUUCUACUGCUGUCAAGUGUUACUCAUGGCUAACUGAGGAAAAGGGGUUCAAAAACAUUGAGAAGACGAAAAGGAGGGAGAAGGCUGGGUUAAUGGGGACGGAGGUAAGGGGUGAGACCCCGGCUAAACAGUGAAGAUAAAAACAGACAUGUAAAUGAGAGAACCGGAAGAGAAGGUAAUGGUGAAAGUCAAUACGGGAAGGAAAGGGGUUGUAGGGGACAAACACUGAGAGGGCAAGAACUUGGAGUAGGUGAAACUAAGGUGAGCGAGGAGGCUGAAGAGAGGUCAGCUGCAGCGGGAAAGAGGGAAGGGCCCUUUAAGAGACACAUCAAGCCGCAGGUGUGGGCCACGAGGCUGGCGCAGGGCUGUCGCUUCACGCGCCGCAGACUCAUCCAGAAGCGCCUUGGGAGCUGCGGAGCCCUAGAGCCUCCAUCCGGGCAGCAAAGCAGCUCACGUGUCCCACCCGGGAAGGGCAGGAGUGGGCGAGGAAUGGUGGAGGGAAAGGAGGGAAAGCGGAGAAACAGGAGGGAGGGGGAAAGCUGCCGCUGCAGAAAAGAAACGAGUAAGCCCCUUUGUGCUUGGCCUGCGAGGUGUUUCCUUCCCGAGCAGACUUGAAGCUGUCACCUCUCAGUCUGGGUUUGGAAUAAAUACACUCGCCCACCGAGAGAUGAGGCGGCGCCUGGCCGCACCUGGGAGGUACCUGGUCGCACCUGGAAGUGCCUGGUCUCCCCUGGCAGGUACCUGGCC
rnacentral:lncRNA from 1 species